rnacentral:rRNA from 1 species
UACGGAGGGUGCAAGCGUUGUUCGGAAUCACUGGGCGUAAAGCGCGUGUAGGCGGCUAUCUAAGUCUGAUGUGAAAGCCCUGGGCUCAACUCAGGAAGUGCAUUGGAUACUGGAUAGCUGGAGUACCGGAGAGGAGGGUGGAAUUCCUGGUGUAGCGGUGAAAUGCGUAGAUAUCAGGAGGAACACCGGUGGCGAAGGCGUCCCUCUGGCCGGAUACUGACGCUGAGGCGCGAAAGCGUGGGGAGCAAACAGG